rnacentral:lncRNA from 1 species
CGUCCCUGCCGGCGUACUAACCUCCUGACCUCAUUCGCAUUUUUCCCUUUCGCUGGGUGUGUUGUUUUCUUUUCAACCUUUAACUUUUCCUGGCAAUGGAGACUUGAAGCAGCCUAGAAGAAACUGGGUUUAUCCAAACCAAUCUUCCCGUCUCGUUGAGCAACCUGGCGGAAUCCAUCACCGUCCCUCCCAACUGAAAAGUUGGGUUCAAGUUUCCUUUGGAAACUUGGAAACUUUGUUGCUGUUUGGAAACCCAGACCUGUUCUGGUAUGCAUUGAUCUAAGGAUGUGUAGCUGAUCUUUUGUUGAGCCCUUUGUGAACUCGGACCGUCACCUCCUACAGGCUUUCUCCCGUCAUCUUCUCUCUCCAGCGAUGCUGAUCACCUGUGAGAUCGUUUAUUGUAUUUAAUUCAAUCCCUUCUGGAUUUGCUUGUUAGGUAGUGACAUUCCUCAAUCGCCAAACCCUUCAGGUCACUGGCUUUUCCGAGUUCGAUUCUUUGGCUCUGUUAUCACCCAGCGAAUUAAGUUUCUGACCCUUUUGAUGCCCUAGUGGCUAUCAGCGUUUGUGUUCUUUGCCGUUGAGUUCCCGGCUAAUAUUUCAAUAAUUUUGCGGCCCUUUUAGUUGAUUAUGUAAAUCUUCCAAAUUUAGGAACUCCAGUUAGCCGAUUUGUGUUGUUUCUGCGUUAUCAUUUUCUGAUAACGCAGCGACAGAACAGAUCGUCUAUCUGCUAACCCCUCCUUUUUUUUUCCCUGUGAUUUUGAUUUGUACCUGGAGCUAUAUGCUCAAACGUUUUCUGUGAUGUGUUAUUAUUGAUCUUAAGACUGAAUAUAUAGUUUGUAUCAUCGUUUAUCUCAGACUCUUUAUUGUGUGUGCUCACCUACUUACCUGCCCUGAUUUAUAGAGAUUAUUGAGAUUAUUUUAGUGACCUUUCUGUAUCUCUCUCUUUUUUUAUUGUGUCACGCUUCUCGUGUUUGAGAGAUUGUCUGGUCCAAUUAUAAUCUUUGCAAUCGGUGAAAAUGUAAUCUUUAUUCCCGUUUGUAACACCGAGAAGGCCUAA